UCCCGGCUUCCUAUAGACUUUAUAAAAUGCCCACAGUGCGCAAUUUAUAAAAACACAUGCAGGCUGACUCUCCCCGUACUGCGCAAACCCCCCGCACAGCUGCAGGUCUUGAACCAGCCCAGCUCUUGCAUCAGCUUUAAACCACCUCACACCCAGUUAGCAGACAUGAUCAUCAGACUGGGCAGGCUGACACCUGGAUACUUCCGUCUCCUCCAGAGGCAAGUAGCAGGUCAGGUGCAGGCGCAGCCACAAGACCGUACUGUCAACCAGAUAGCCAUGAUGCUGGCCAUCAUGGGCCUGAGUUUGUCUUACUACAGUGCCAAACAGAUGACGGAGAAGGUGAAUGCCCAGCCUGCACCCUGAAGAGGCUCGACUGCCGGUGCCAUUCGUCGAAAUAAUGGAUGAACCAAUGACAAGUGAUGGCGGUGGAGCGAGGAAGUAGAAGUCGAGACACAGCAGUGUUUCUGGGGACCGAACUUUUCUCACCUCACAGUCAUAAUCACACUUUGAAUUUCUGGGAUCCCUCACUUACCACGUGCAAAACUUUCUGACCGGGCACUGAGUGUUUUCUACUCUUUCUGUUGCCAGGAUUUAU